AGAGAGAAACCUAGAGAAAUUUUGGAAGAAAAAAAUAAAAGAAAUUGUUUGGAAACCCUAGCCGCCGCCAACCCUAGCUCUGCCGCGCCGCCGUCGGAUUCCAGCCAACUUGUACAAGAGCCCAGCCGCAACCCUCGAGCCGAACUCCCUUGUCCGUCCCGCGCCGCCGCGUCGAGUCGAGAGCUUCGAAGCCACGCAGCCCAGCAAGCCGUCGCCUUCGCGAAUCGGAAGCCGCCGCGUCUCGCCGGCCGAACUCCCUCGUCCGCAAGCCGUCGCCUUCGCGAUCGGAAGCCGCCGCGUCUCGCCAGCCGAAACCCGUCUGCAAGUCGUCGCCGAGCACCAGCUAAAGCCAGCCGUCGAAGUCACGGUAUUAGCCGGAUCACCCCGCGCCCCGUUCACGCGUAAACCCGACCCGACCGAGCCUCCGCUCCGCGACCCGAGCGACCCGCGUCCACACGCGCACAACACCUGCGCCCAAGCCGAGCCACAUCCGCGUCGUAGCCGAGUCGCUUCCCUCCGUGCCGCGCCUGCCUGCGCCGUGUCCGAGCCGAUCCCAGUCUUCAAGCCGAGUCGGUUCCUACUUCUCUAGCCGAGCCGAUCCGCCUGCCCUUGAGCUGCCAGUCUGCUCCGGUUCCUUUUCACCUACUUUGGACUUGCGCCGCUUGGGAAAGCGUGUUGUCACUGUUAGGACUCGUCGAGCAAAUCUCCAGGUAGAGGCCGAGGUAGGGGCAAAGGCAAGCUAGCAAGCGACCAGAAGUGACCGUGGCGAGCCAUAGGGAUUUCUGCUUCCGCUUACACCUCGUUUUAGA